GAUGAACGCUGGCGGCGUGCCUAAUACAUGCAAGUCGAGCGAACAGACGAGGAGCUUGCUCCUCUGACGUUAGCGGCGGACGGGUGAGUAACACGUGGAUAACCUACCUAUAAGACUGGGAUAACUUCGGGAAACCGGAGCUAAUACCGGAUAACAUGUUGAACCGCAUGGUUCAACAGUGAAAGACGGUCUUGCUGUCACUUAUAGAUGGAUCCGCGCCGCAUUAGCUAGUUGGUAAGGUAACGGCUUACCAAGGCAACGAUGCGUAGCCGACCUGAGAGGGUGAUCGGCCACACUGGAACUGAGACACGGUCCAGACUCCUACGGGAGGCAGCAGUAGGGAAUCUUCCGCAAUGGGCGAAAGCCUGACGGAGCAACGCCGCGUGAGUGAUGAAGGUCUUCGGAUCGUAAAACUCUGUUAUUAGGGAGGAACAAAUGUGUAAGUAACUAUGCACGUCUUGACGGUACCUAAUCAGAAAGCCACGGCUAACUACGUG
rnacentral:rRNA from 1 species